GACAGAGGGGGGCAAGCGUUGCUCGGAAUUACUGGGCGUAAAGGGCGCGUAGGCGGGAUGGCAAGUCGGUCGUGAAAUCCCUCGGCUCAACUGAGGAUCGUCGAUCGAUACUGCUGUUCUUGAGGAUUGCAGAGGAGACUGGAAUUCCCGGUGUAGCGGUGAAAUGUGUAGAGAUCGGGAGGAACACCGGUGGCGAAGGCGGGUCUCUGGGCAAUUCCUGACGCUGAGGCGCGAAAGCGUGGGGAGCAAACGGG
rnacentral:rRNA from 1 species